rnacentral:rRNA from 1 species
UUAAAAAGCUCGUAGUCGGAUUUCGGCCGACUGCCUGGCCCGCUAGCAGAUAAUGCUUGUGAGUGCCGGCGCGUGUCUACCAUCCUUCUAGAGAACGGUUCUAUCCUUCAUUGGACUGGAUCCGCUAUCUAGAUCUUUUACUUUGAAAAAAUUAGAGUGUUCAAAGCAGGCUUGCGCUAUGAAUACAUUAGCAUGGAAUAAUAAUCUAGGACUCUCGUCUUAUUUUGUUGGUUUCUAAGAUAAGAGAAAUGAUUGAUAGGGAUAGUUGGGGGUGCUAGUAUUCAGUGGCCAGAGGUGAAAUUCUCGGAUUCACUGAAGACUAACUUAUGCGUAAGCAUUCACCAGGGAUGUCUUCUUUAAUCAAGAACGAAAGUUGGGGGAUCGAAGACGAUCAGAUACCGUCGUAGUCUCAACCAUAAACUAUACCGACUAGGGAUUGGUCAACGUUGCAUUUUCGACUUGAUCAGCACCUUAUGAGAAAUCAAAGUCUUUGGGUUCCGGGGGGAGUAUGGUCGCAAGGCUGAAACUUAAAGGAAUUGACGGAAAGGCACCACCAGGAGUGGAGUUUGCGGCUUAAUUUGACUCAACACGGGAAAACUUACCAGGUCCAGACAUAGCAAGGAUUGACAGAUUGAUAGCUCU